UCUCAGUUCGGAUUGGAGUCUGCAACCCGACUCCAUGAAGCUGGAUUCGCUAGUAAUCGCGCAUCAGCCACGGCGCGGUGAAUACGUUCCCGGGCCUUGUACACACCGCCCGUCAAGCCAUGGGAGCCGGGGGUACCUGAAGUGCGUGACCGCAAGGAGCGCCCUAAGGUAAAACUGGUGACUGGGGCUAAGUCGUAACAAGGUAAC
rnacentral:rRNA from 1 species